rnacentral:lncRNA from 1 species
CACUGACGCCUCACUGUGUGAUCGAUACAAGAAAAGAGUCCUGAGGCAAAUUUGAGGGAAAAACUAGGUCAGGAGAGCAAUAACAAAAACAUCAUGGCACAACAACAAUCUAGGUCAGGUGUAAUAAAAACUAUUAAACCUUGUUACACCGCAAGCCCCAGUCAAUCCAAUCCCCUCGUCAUUAAACAGCAACCACAACAAUAACAAAAAUAUGUUACAGACACCAAAACCCUUUAAAGUUGUAAUGUUAAACAAAUCGUGUUGUAAUGUUAAACAAAUAUGAACGUUUCCACAUAAAAGCCUAAAGCCCCAGAAAGCAUAUAUGUGCAGUUUUAUGUACUGAUAGUGCAUUCGGUAAUUUGUCCUCUUUGUCACUAUUCACAGCCACCUCAACGUCAAGAUCAACUUAUCAGAUCACAC